rnacentral:rRNA from 1 species
GACGAACGCUGGCGGCGUGCUUAACACAUGCAAGUCGAACGGGCCUGUCUUCUUUUUUGGGGGGUGGGUUGAGUGGCGAACGGGUGAGUAUCACGUGAGUAACCUGCCCUUCGGUCCUGGAUAACCUCUUGAAAGGGCGGCUAAUACGGGUUGGUCCGGUUGGUCCGCAUGGGCUGGUCGGGAUAGAUUCACUGUUUUUGGUGUUUCGGCGGGGGAUGGGCUCGCGGCCUAUCAGCUUGUUGGUGGGGUGAUGGCCUACCAAGGCGGUGACGGGUAGCCGGGAUGAGGGGGUGGGCGGCCACACGGGAACUGAGGUACGGCCCAGACUCCUGCGGGAGGGAGCAGUGGGGGGUAUUGCACAAGGGGCGGAAGCCUGAUGCAGCGACGUCGCGUGAGGGAUGGAGGCGUUCGGGUUGUGAACCUCUGUUUCCGGUGGUGAAGGCCCUGUCCGUGUGGUGGGGUUGACGGUAGCCGGGGAUGAAGCGCCGGCUAACUACGUG